UACGUAGGGUGCGAGCGUUAAUCGGAAUUACUGGGCGUAAAGAGUGCGUAGGCGGUUCGUUAUGUCUGCUGUGAAAGCCCCGGGCUUAACCCGGGAAUGGCAGUGGAAACUGGCGGGCUUGAGUGUGGCAGAGGGGGGUGGAAUUCCGCGUGUAGCAGUGAAAUGCGUAGAGAUGCGGAGGAACACCGAUGGCGAGGGCAGCCCCCUGGGCUAACACUGACGCUGAGGCACGAAAGCGUGGGGAGCAAACAGG
rnacentral:rRNA from 1 species